AUUUUUUAAAAUUAAAAAAUAAAAGGAGAAUAUGAUUUACCUUACACAUGGGGGCAACCAAGACUGCCCCAUCCCAGUAAUCUGGCUUCUUCCUAUGUACCAACAACAACACUGCUCCACCCAUGGAUUCCCCUAACAAAUAUCUCAUCUU